rnacentral:rRNA from 1 species
UAGGGAAUAUUAGUAAUCUGGGAAACCGGGAACUAGCAACGCCGCGUGUGCGAUGAAGGCCUUCGGGUUGUAAAGCACUUUUUAAGGGAAUGAGAAAGGACAGUACCCUUAGAAUAAGUCUCGGCUAACUACGUGCCAGCAGCCGCGGUAAGACGUAGGAGACGAGCGUUAUUCGGAUUUACUGGGCGUAAAGCGCGUGCAGGCGGUUUGGUAAGUUGGAUGUGAAAGCUCUCGGCUCAACCGGGAGAGGUCGUUCAAAACUGCCAGACUAGAGAAUAGGAGAGGGAGGUGGAAUUCCGGGUGUAGUGGUGAAAUGCGUAGAUAUCCGGAGGAACACCAGUGGCGAAGGCGACCUCCUGGCCUAUUUCUGACGCUCAGACGCGAAAGCUAGGGUAGCAAA